rnacentral:rRNA from 1 species
UGGGGAAUAUUGGACAAUGGGCGCAAGCCUGAUCCAGCCAUGCCGCGUGAGUGAUGAAGGCCCUAGGGUUGUAAAGCUCUUUCACCGGUGAAGAUAAUGACGGUAACCGGAGAAGAAGCCCCGGCUAACUUCGUGCCAGCAGCCGCGGUAAUACGAAGGGGGCUAGCGUUUUUCGGAUUUACUGGGCGUAAAGCGCACGUAGGCGGACUUUUAAGUCAGGGGUGAAAUCCCGGGGCUCAACCCCGGAACUGCCUUUGAUACUGGAAGUCUUGAGUAUGGUAGAGGUGAGUGGAAUUCCGAGUGUAGGGGUGAAGUUCGUAGAUAUUCGGAGGAACACCAGUGGCGAAGGCGGCGCACUGGACCAUUACUGACGCUGAGGUGCGAAAGCGUGGGGAGCAAACAGG